UUGUAAGAUGCAAUAACUUUGCUCAUGAAACUUAUAAAAGUCGUAAUCUGAUUAUAUCAAUGUGUCUGUUUAUGUGCAAUAUAAAGAACCUGGUAAAACUGUCCAGGUUCUUUUUUGA
rnacentral:sRNA from 18 species